rnacentral:tRNA from 1 species
GGCCCUGUGGUGAAGAAUUCAUGUUGAGUUGCAAGCUCAUUGAUGUGCAUUGAGAAUGCGCCAGGGUCU